CCUAGUAACUGCGAGUGAAGCGGGAAGAGCUCAAAUUUAAAAUCUGACAGUCUUUGGCUGUCCGAGUUGUAAUCUAGAGAAGUGCUAUCCGCGCUGGACCGUGUACAAGUCUCCUGGAAUGGAACAUCAUAGAGGGUGAGAAUCCCGUCUCUGACACGGACUUCCAGGGCUUUUGUGAUACGCUCUCAAAGAGUCGAGUUGUUUGGGAAUGCAGCUCUAAAUGGGUGGUAAAUUCCAUCUAAAGCUAAAUAUUGGCGAGAGACCGAUAGCGAACAAGUACCGUGAGGGAAAGAUGAAAAGAACUUUGGAAAGAGAGUUAAACAGUACGUGAAAUUGUUGAAAGGGAAACGCUUGAAGUCAGUCACAUUGACUAGGGAUCAACCUUGCUUCUUUGCUUGGUGUACUUCCUAGUUGAUGGGCCAGCAUCAAUUUUGACCAGUGGAUAAAGGUCAAGGGAAUGUGGCAUCUUCGGAUGUGUUAUAGCCUUUGAUUGUAUACAUUGGUUGGGAUUGAGGAACUCAGCAUGCCGUAAGGCCGGGUUUCGACCACGAUCAUGCUUAGGAUGUUGGCAUAUAAUGGCUUUAAUCGACCCGUCUUGAAACACGGACCAAGGAGUCUAACAUGCCUGCGAGUAUUUGGGUGGCAAACCCAUGUGCGUAAUGAAAGUGAAGAUCAGGAUCUCUGUCAUGGAGAGCACUGAUGCCCGGACCAGACCUUUUGUGACGGAUCUGCGGUAGAGCAUGCAUGUUGGGACCCGAAAGAUGGUGAACUAUGCCUGAAUAGGGUGAAGCCAGAGGAAACUCUGGUGGAGGCUCGUAGCGAUUCUGACGUGCAAAUCGAUCGUCAAAUUUGGGUAUAGGGG
rnacentral:rRNA from 1 species